CUACGGGCCGCUGCAGUAGGGAAUUUUGCGCAAUGGACGAAAGUCUGACGCAGCAACGCCGCGUGAGUGAUGACGCCCUUAGGGGUGUAAAGCUCUGUCAAUAGGGAUGAAUAAAUGACAGUACCUAUAAAGGAAGCAUCGGCUAACUACGUGCCAGCAGCCGCGGUAAGACGUAGGAUGCAAGCGUUGUCCGGAUUUAUUGGGCGUAAAGAGUUCGUAGGUGGCAUGCAAAGUCUGAUGUUAAAGGCUGGGGCUCAACCCCAGUACGGCAUUGGAUACUGGCGAGCUAGAGUACGGUAGAGGCAAGGGGAAUUCCUAGUGUAGCGGUGAAAUGCGUAGAUAUUAGGAGGAACACCAGUGGCGAAAGCGCCUUGCUGGGCCGUAACUGACGCUGAGGAACGAAAGCCAGGGUAGCGAAUGGGAUUAGAUACCCUAGUAGUC
rnacentral:rRNA from 1 species